CGCCAGCUAAGGUCCCAAAGUCAUGGUUAAGUGGGAAACGAUGUGGGAAGGCCCAGACAGCCAGGAUGUUGGCUUAGAAGCAGCCAUCAUUUAAAGAAAGCGUAAUAGCUCACUGGUCGAGUCGGCCUGCGCGGAAGAUGUAACGGGGCUAAACCAUGCACCGAAGCUGCGGCAGCGACGCUUAUGCGUUGUUGGGUAGGGGAGCGUUCUGUAAGCCUGUGAAGGUGUGCUGUGAGGUAUGCUGGAGGUAUCAGAAGUGCGAAUGCUGACAUAAGUAACGAUAAAGCGGGUGAAAAGCCCGCUCGCCGGAAGACCAAGGGUUCCUGUCCAACGUUAAUCGGGGCAGGGUGAGUCGACCCCUAAGGCGAGGCCGAAAGGCGUAGUCGAUGGGAAACAGGUUAAUAUUCCUGUACUUGGUGUUACUGCGAAGGGGGGACGGAGAAGGCUAUGUUGGCCGGGCGACGGUUGUCCCGGUUUAAGCGUGUAGGCUGGUUUUCCAGGCAAAUCCGGAAAAUCAAGGCCGAGGCGUGAUGACGAGGCACUACGGUGCUGAAGCAACAAAUGCCCUGCUUCCAGGAAAAGCCUCUAAGCAUCAGGUAACAUCAAAUCGUACCCCAAACCGACACAGGUGGUCAGGUAGAGAAUACCAAGGCGCUUGAGAGAACUCGGGUGAAGGAACUAGGCAAAAUGGUGCCGUAACUUCGGGAGAAGGCACGCUGAUACGUAGGUGAAGCGACUUGCUCGUGGAGCUGAAAUCAGUCGAAGAUACCAGCUGGCUGCAACUGUUUAUUAAAAACACAGCACUGUGCAAACACGAAAGUGGACGUAUACGGUGUGACGCCUGCCCGGUGCCGGAAGGUUAAUUGAUGGGGUUAGCGCAAGCGAAGCUCUUGAUCGAAGCCCCGGUAAACGGCGGCCGUAACUAUAACGGUCCUAAGGUAGCGAAAUUCCUUGUCGGGUAAGUUCCGACCUGCACGAAUGGCGUAAUGAUGGCCAGGCUGUCUCCACCCGAGACUCAGUGAAAUUGAACUCGCUGUGAAGAUGCAGUGUACCCGCGGCAAGACGGAAAGACCCCGUGAACCUUUACUAUAGCUUGACACUGAACAUUGAGCCUUGAUGUGUAGGAUAGGUGGGAGGCUUUGAAGUGUGGACGCCAGUCUGCAUGGAGCCGACCUUGAAAUACCACCCUUUAAUGUUUGAUGUUCUAACGUGGACCCGUGAUCCGGGUUGCGGACAGUGUCUGGUGGGUAGUUUGACUGGGGCGGUCUCCUCCUAAAGAGUAACGGAGGAGCACGAAGGUUGGCUAAUCCUGGUCGGACAUCAGGAGGUUAGUGCAAUGGCAUAAGCCAGCUUGACUGCGAGCGUGACGGCGCGAGCAGGUGCGAAAGCAGGUCAUAGUGAUCCGGUGGUUCUGAAUGGAAGGGCCAUCGCUCAACGGAUAAAAGGUACUCCGGGGAUAACAGGCUGAUACCGCCCAAGAGUUCAUAUCGACGGCGGUGUUUGGCACCUCGAUGUCGGCUCAUCACAUCCUGGGGCUGAAGUAGGUCCCAAGGGUAUGGCUGUUCGCCAUUUAAAGUGGUACGCGAGCUGGGUUUAGAACGUCGUGAGACAGUUCGGUCCCUAUCUGCCGUGGGCGCUGGAGAACUGAGGGGGGCUGCUCCUAGUACGAGAGGACCGGAGUGGACGCAUCACUGGUGUUCGGGUUGUCAUGCCAAUGGCACUGCCCGGUAGCUAAAUGCGGAAGAGAUAAGUGCUGAAAGCAUCUAAGCACGAAACUUGCCCCGAGAUGAGUUCUCCCUGACCCUUUAAGGGUCCUGAAGGAACGUUGAAGACGACGACGUUGAUAGGCCGGGUGUGUAAGCGCAGCGAUGCGUUGAGCUAACCGGUACUAAUGAACCGUGAGGCUUAACCUUACAACGCCGAAG
rnacentral:rRNA from 1 species